rnacentral:RNase_P_RNA from 1 species
GUGGCCGGAGGGUCUGUCGCUCGUCAGCGUAUGAAUGGCGAGAGGAAAGUCCGGGCAACACAGAGCACCAUACUUGCUAACGGCAAGCUAUCGGCAACGGUAGAGUAAUGUGACAGAAAAUUACCGCCACGGCGCCCUUUGGGGUGUUGGGGUAAGGGUGAAAAGGUGAGGUAAGAGCUCACCGGGUCCCGUAGCGAUACGGGAUGCCGUACGUCUUAUGGGUUGUAAGGUCAUGUAUACCGGCGCAUGUAGGAUGGCUCGUCCGAUGCCGGGGGGUAGACCGCUAAAGCUUACCGGCGACGGUAAGACAAGAUAAAUGGCAGGCGCCUCUUUCCAAAGAGGUACAGGACCCGGCUUAUAGGCAGACUGCUUUU